rnacentral:rRNA from 1 species
GACGAACGCUGGCGGCGUGCUUAACACAUGCAAGUCGAACGAUGAAGCCGGAGCUUGCUCUGGUGAAUUAGUGGCGAACGGGUGAGUAACACGUGAGUAACCUGCCCUUGACUCUGGGAUAACUGCGGGAAACUGUAGCUAAUACCGGAUACGACCAUCGGAAGCAUCUCCUGGGGGUGGAAAGAAUUUCGGUCAAGGAUGGACUCGCGGCCUAUCAGCUAGUUGGUGAGGUAAAGGCUCACCAAGGCGCCGACGGGUAGCCGGCCUGAGAGGGGGACCGGCCACACUGGGACUGAGACACGGCCCAGACUCCUACGGGAGGCAGCAGUGGGGAAUAUUGCACAAUGGGCGCAAGCCUGAUGCAGCAACGCCGCGUGAGGGAUGACGGCCUUCGGGUUGUAAACCCCUUUUAGCAGGGAAGAAGCGAAAGUGACGGUACCUGCAGAAAAAGCACCGGCUAACUACGUGCCAGCAGCCGCCGUAA